rnacentral:rRNA from 1 species
GGAGCGGCCGAUGUCUGAUUAGUUAGUUGGUGGGGUAAAGGCCUACCAAGGCAACGAUCAGUAGCUGGUCUGAGAGGACGAUCAGCCACACUGGGACUGAGACACGGCCCAGACUCCUACGGGAGGCAGCAGUGGGGAAUUUUGGACAAUGGGCGAAAGCCUGAUCCAGCCAUGCCGCGUGAAUGAAGAAGGCCUUCGGGUUGUAAAGUUCUUUUAGUUGGAAAGAAAAAAUUAUGAUGAAUAAUCAUAAUUCAUGACGGUACCGACAGAAAAAGCACCGGCUAACUACGUGCCAGCAGCCGCGGUAAUACGUAGGGUGCAAGCGUUAAUCGGAAUUACUGGGCGUAAAGGGUGUGCAGGCGGCCUUGUAAGUCAGAUGUGAAAGCCCC